rnacentral:lncRNA from 1 species
CACUUCAGUGUCCCUACACUGUGGACUCGAGUCUCGUUCGUCCAUAAGGAAAGCGAUCUGUGCACUGAUCGGAUCGAUUACCGUCCUCGUGAUGAUCCAUUGAUCAGGAGCAUUUAGAAAUUAAUCACCAAUGAUACAUGGCUCAAAUUCUCAACUUUUGAGUAUAUGUAUCAUCAUCUUAUUAAUUCCUUAGACGAUUCAUAGACACAUAAACAAUAUGAAUGAAAAGAUGCCCAUUUAUUAUUCAAUAAUAAUAAAGUCAAGUACAAAUUUAUGU